GCCAGACUCCUACGGGAGGCAGCAGUGGGGAAUAUUGCACAAUGGGGGAAACCCUGAUGCAGCGACGCCGCGUGAGUGAAGAAGUAUUUCGGUAUGUAAAGCUCUAUCAGCAGGGAAGAAAAUGACGGUACCUGAUUAAGAAACCCCGGCUAACUACGUGCCAGCAGCCGCGGUAAUACGUAGGGGGCAAGCGUUAUCCGGAUUUACUGGGUGUAAAGGGAGCGUAGACGGUGAUGCAAGUCAGAAGUGAAAGCCCGGGGCUCAACUCCGGGACUGCUUUUGAAACUGUGUGACUGGAGUGCAGGAGAGGUAAGCGGAAUUCCUGGUGUAGCGGUGAAAUGCGUAGAUAUCAGGAGGAACACCAGUGGCGAAGGCGGCUUACUGGACUGUAACUGACGUUGAGGCUCGAAAGCGUGGGGAGCAAACAGGAUUAGAUACCCGCGUAUC
rnacentral:rRNA from 1 species